UGCAGCCGGGGAGAUAGCGGUGCCCUGUACCUGCAAUCCGCUACAGCAGGGGUGAUGUUUGAGCUGAGGGCUUUGAUCUGUAGAGCUGCCCGCUGUAAGCGGCGUUGACGUCUGGGUCUCGCGCAACAGGAACCGGUGAACCGUGUCAGGUCAGGAAUGGAGCAGCACUAAGCCGGACCUUCUGUGUGCCGUGAGGGUGCCUGGGCUGAGCUGGCUGCAGCGGUAACGUCUGGGGGUCGGGUUCGAAG
rnacentral:SRP_RNA from 1 species